AGGUGGGUUUUUCACUAAACGUUCAAUGUGCUCAUCUGGGCCAAAUACAUUUUCUCCAAGGCCCUGCUAUCCGAAAUAUUCUAUAUAUAUAAUCUAUUCUAUAUUAUAGUGGAUGGAUGUUGAGUGUCUCAGUGUAAUUUAAAUUAUAAAUUUUUUUUUAAUGAUAUUUGUCCUAAGAUGCAAAAUUACUCGGUUCAUUAUUUUACAAUUAUGCAUGACAUUCUUGGGGUCAAUAUUGUCAAUACAGUCAAUUUAAUGGGGUUCCAAAUGUCUGGUCAUGGUCUAACACCAAACAACUGAAUAUUAAAGCCUUUGCCUAGGCACUGUGUUCCAUUCCACUGGAAAUCUGAUUAGUCUCCAACCUCAAAGGCUUAGUGAUACCAUGUAUUUUCUCAAACUGGAAAAGAUUUGAUCGUCUGUAGGGUAACUUUUAAAAUCAUUUGCAUUCUUUUAAACUUUAAGCCUCAUAUAACUCUGCCUUCUAUCUAGGCCCCUUCUAUUUUUUCCCCUCUUCUUUACUAUUAUGUAUUAUUGUUUUUUGGAUAAUGAUUGUGGUAAUGUUUGUUUGCUCAUGUGAAUACCCAUUUACCCAAACUCUACUUGUAUUUUCAUUAUAUGUGAUAUUUCUAAUGCUAUUUGUGGUUGUAUAAUAAGAAGGAUAAUGUAUAGUAACAUUUUGAAUAACCAUAAUAUGGAAUGUUGCACAACAAAAAGUUCAAAAACAAGAUUCCAAAUUUGCUACCAUAAAUGUAUACAAAAUAUUCAACGUUAUCAAGUAGUGAAGGUCUUAGUUUCUGUUGCUCAAUCCUAUAUGAAAGUAAAACAUACUACUUUUUGCUAUAUAUAUAUAUUGUAAAUAUUUUAAACUAGUGUAACUUGUCACACAGCUGAGGUACAUUCUUUAGGUAUAAAGGAAAAUGAAAGCACACUAAGCUAAGCACACUAAGCUAUAGAAGCGAGCAGGUUGUGGAACUCGACACGUUAAGUAAACUUCUCAGCUGUCCCUGGUCUAAAGGGCUGCCUUGAGCUAAAAUAUUUACUACCGUAUGAGAUUGGAUAAGGAGAACUUGCUUUCAGGUAAUUCUGCAAUGGGACAGAGCAACAGUGGCCACAUAUACUACACUAUGUACCAUGGUACAACAUUGGAUGCAGCAAAAAAAAUCGUGCGUAAAGGUUUCAAACGCUCCUCUGAUGGUAUGCUCGGGCCUGGCAUCUAUCUGAGCAAAAGUGUGGAUAAAGCUGCACGUUACCCUCUAAAACCUAAAGGCAAGAGACUGGCCAUCCUGAAACUG